GACGAACGCUGGCGGCGUGCUUAACACAUGCAAGUCGAACGGAAAGGCCCUGCUUUUGUGGGGUGCUCGAGUGGCGAACGGGUGAGUAACACGUGAGUAACCUGCCCUUGACUUUGGGAUAACUUCAGGAAACUGGGGCCAAUACCGGAUAGGAGCUCCUGCUGCAUGGUGGGGGUUGGAAAGUUUCGGCGGUUGGGGAUGGACUCGCGGCUUAUCAGCUUGUUGGUGGGGUAGUGGCUUACCAAGGCUUUGACGGGUAGCCGGCCUGAGAGGGUGACCGGCCACAUUGGGACUGAGAUACGGCCCAGACUCCUACGGGAGGCGGCAGUGGGGAAUAUUGCACAAUGGGCGGAAGCCUGAUGCAGCAACGCCGCGUGCGGGAUGACGGCCUUCGGGUUGUAAACCGCUUUCGCCUGUGACGAAGCGUGAGUGACGGUAAUGGGUAAAGAAGCACCGGCUAACUACGUG
rnacentral:rRNA from 1 species